UGGGGAAUCUUGGACAAUGGGCGCAAGCCUGAUCCAGCCAUGCCGCGUGAGUGAAGAAGGCCUUCGGGUUGUAAACCUCUGUCACCGGGGAAGAAACGCUUCAAGUUAACAGCUUGAAGCCUGACUUAACCCGGAGAGGAAGCAGUGGCUAACUCUGUGCCAGCAGCCGCGGUAAUACAGAGACUGCAAGCGUUAUUCGGAUUCACUGGGCGUAAAGGGUGCGCAGGCGGUUGGGCGUGUCAGAUGUGAAAUCCCGAGGCUUAACCUCGGAACUGCGUCUGAAACUACUCGACUAGAGUACUGGAGAGGGUAACGGAAUUCACGGUGUAGCAGUGAAAUGCGUAGAUAUCGUGAGGAACACCAGAGGCGAAGGCGGUUACCUGGACAGUUACUGACGCUCAGGCACGAAAGCAUGGGGAGCAAAAGGGAUUAGAUACCCUUGUAGUCCCUGAGCGGGCUGGCAAGGCGCAU
rnacentral:rRNA from 1 species